UUUGACUGAACAAAAUGUUCUGGCAGAAAAAUAAAUCAGACUUUUUGUCACAUCUUCAGCGCUCUAAACGCAGGUUUGUUUUGAAUUUGACCCAGAUUAUAUCGCUGCUGUUACUCUUUCCUUUUUUAGUCCUUCCUCUUUAGUGCUUUUUUGAGUUCUUCUCUCCUCUUCUCCCACUUCUCUGCCCUCCCCACCUUCUCCUCACAGUCCCCUUUCAUCCUCAGGUGAGGGUCUUACCCACACCCCCUUCUUUCCAGUUCACCUACCUGGGGUUGUACUUGGAGAACAAACUGGACUGGUCUAAGAACUUUUAAGCUGUCUACAAGAAGGUCAUCAGCCGUCUCUACGUCCUCCGGAGUCUGACGUCCUUCAACAUCUGCAGGAUGAUGCUGACUGAGGAUGCUCUUUGAGUCUGUGGGGUCCAGUGUGAUCCUGUUUGCUGUUGUGUGCAGGGGCAGUAGACUGAGAGUAGCUGGACUCUCUGAUGGUGGUGACAGAGUGGAGGAUGUAAUCUUGUACAGCAUCUACCACCCAACUCUUCCCUCUGAGUGUCCCUGGAUUUAUUAAGCUUUUCCACAACAUAUAAUCAUAUUUAACUGUGCAAUCUGUUUGUGAACUGGUCAAACUUUGAAUCAUCUAAGAGUGCAAUACUUAUAAUGCAUUGUUUAUUAAGCUAAUAAAUGCUGCACUGCUACACCAUCAAAAUCCGAAACCAGCACUUAAGGGUAGGAGACAGAUCUAAAGUGGGGCUUAUCCUGUGAACUAGGAUCCUUUUAUUCAUUCAUUCAGGUACUAUAGGUACUACUGUUGCAUAUCUAGAAGUACGCAGGAGUGCAUAGUUGACAUCCAGUGAUUCCUGGUUAACGCAACAGCAUUAGGACUUUUCAGGGGUUUCAGUUUGGUUUGUUUCUUUGAUUUAGUUUCUUCCCCCUGUUCUCGCCCUUCAAAAUAAAAGCUCUGCCAACUUCUGUGAUGCAGUCUGACCGGCUGCACCUUAUCUCAGAGCUAAAACUCAAAGUAGACUUUAGUGAUAUGUUGCCUCAGUUUGGCUUAUCACUUUUCAAAUGUCACCAGAGCCAUCCUGGAGAUUUUCAAAAUGAAAUGCGCCAUGGUGGUGUCAUCAGUUAUACCCUUACUUCACCGCCAUUAACACCUUAAAGUUCACAGACACUAUUUGUUCAAUUUUUAUUUACAUUUUUCACUUUUUUUCAACUGUGUUUCAAGUGUUUUUGUGUGCAAAAUAAAGUAAACUUGGUCACGACUUUGUUAUAACCUGUUCUGUGUUUACAGAGUAAUUCUGGGUAAAGACUCUCAGGAUGAGUUUGUCUCACCCUAGUUGGUCAGCGCUCUCUCUCUCUCUCUCUCUCUCUCUCUCUCUCUUCCUUCUCCUCUUCUCUCUCUCUCUCUGUCGGUAUUGUUGCUGCUGCUGCUUGUUGUGCUCUGCUGGGACAGUUUGGGUGCUGCUUGGGACGCAAUGAACCCGCUCCAUCAAUAAUGCAGAAUGUUUCCGUGGUAACUGCCUGGCAACCGCCUGCAUCCCGUACGGGAGAAAGAGCGAGGAUGAAUGAGAGAGGAAAAACGAGAAGGCAGUGAGAAAGAUGAGAGGAGGAAGAGAGGAACAAGUGAGAAAAAGAGUUUAAGAAGGAACUGGAGAUGGACGAUGGUUAGAAAGUGUGUGAAGUACGGAGGGAAAAUGUGAAAAAGAGGAGUGAGGGAGAGAUAAAGUUAAAAACUGUUGGAGCUACUACAUGAAAAACACGAAUGUCCGUUUUAAUUCCUGCUUAAUUCCUAAUUCCUGCUUCAUGUAGACUUGAUGAGUGGUUCAACAUUCCCAAAAAUGACACCUUUGCUCCCUUCCUUGAAUCCAUUUUUGCACGUUAUUUCUAACUUGGCGGCACUGGGCUUUCAAAACAAACUUUUUUGGAUGUGUGGCACAAUUAAAGCUCCUGUAAGGGUUUUUAGCUCGCAGUUAAAAAAGAUUGAAAUUGAUACAGAUUGUGUUUUUAUGACUCAGAAAAGUGUAGAGGACCAUUUCCAGGAAGGAUGACAAUUGCUGGUCAGCUAUUUUUAAUGUCUGAAACAGUUGGUGGGGGGUCGGUGUCAGACGAAGUGGUGUACUUCAUACUGCAAAUACAGCCUCCAUUUAUAUUUGAUAAUAACUGAUUCAUGGGACUGUUACAAGAGAAAAGGAAAUCAAUCAAUCAAUCUUUCUCUGUUGUCCUCAGACGAGCUUCCAUCGGAGUCUCCAAUCCUCCCGAUUCUCCAUACUCCAGCUCCGAAGAGCUUUCAGCUCCACAUACGUAAGCGCUGAAUGUCCUCGCGAACGGUGCCCGUGUGUUGGUUCCUGCUGGCCGGGAGCUCCUGAUGUCUGUGGCAGUGGCCGGCCAGCCACAUCCUCCAAGAUGCUACGUUCUCGCCCGUACAGGUCCUUGUUGGUAAUGUGGAUGUUCUGGUCCACGUUCAGCACAGCUCGUAGCAUUCUGGUGUAGCACCCAUCCAAGGACUUCUGCAGGGUGGGUGUCAGGGUCCAGCUUUCGCAGCCGUACAGGAGGACGGACUCCACAGUGUCAUGGAAUAGGUUCAGCUUUAUGUGUCUGGAGAGAUUCGAGCACCACACUCUCAACAUACCGUUCAGGGCCCUCCACGCUAGUGCCUUCCUGACCAUACGGACCUGUUCUGUGGAGUCGACCCAGGAACUCAAGUAUUUAAAGUCAUCGACCUCUCGCAGAGCAUUGCCAUCUGACGUUGUAAUCUGCGGAUGGUCCACGUGGGAGUUACAGGUAAUUACCUCCAUCUUCUUCGCAUUCAGUCAGAGGCCAACCUCAGCAACCUAAUCAGUCUUUAUUUAUACGGCACUUUUCAUACACAACCAUGUAGCACAAAGUGCUUUACACAGAAAAGGGAAUAAAAGAAACAAAGAAUACCCAAAUCUACCCCAGCCCAACCCCUCAUUCCCACGAUCUAACUGCAACAGAAACAGUAUUAAAAUGCAUAAACUUGAAAAGGCUUGAUUUCAUGGAAACAGGAAUAUGCACACUGAGGAAACAUCAUUUUAAAACUCGAGAUAAGGAAACACUCGAGGUUUAGAUUAAAAUCUAAAAACAAAGAAACAUAGAAUGAAAUUGAAGAAAUAAUCAAAGUCAAAGAUACUAAAAUAAGAGCACCAAAAUAGCUCAUUAAAAGAUGAUCCUGUCGUUAAAACUCAAAUUGAUGAAUGCUAAAACACUUAAAGUUAAUGAUGUAAAAUUUAGUUAAAUGACAAACUAAUUACAGAUGUAAAUUGAAAAAAUCAGCAAAGAUCUCUUUGUCCACAGGGGGCACCAGAAUCAACAUAGACAAAAAGGCUGCUGUAUGUGACCAUUUGGUCUGAAACGCAGUUCCUAAGACCUGUUUCAGCCAAACGGCAGCAAAGAGACCCUACAGGCAGACUUUGAAGGAGUAAAACAAGUGUCUUCGUUGUUUGUUUGUGUAUAAGUGUGUGUGUUUUGUGACCGUAUAGGCGCGCCGUGUCCGUCCUGCAGGCCAGCAGUCGGUGAAGAGAUUCAGCGUGUGUUUAAAACAUUCAUCACCCCCCUCCUCUCCUCGUUUGUAGCAGUGAAUUAUUAAACGCUCACCUAUUUUUCAAUUAUUCAAAUGGGAGAUCUCUCACUUUUUUGUUGUUAAUCUGGGCUUUUACCGGCACUUUAACAUUCCUUUUAAUCUGCGUGAGUUUUCACUUCGGCCCGUCACUUUACUUUUGGCUCUUUAAUAUCUGAUUUUAGGGAAAUUUUCACAGAGAAAAAGGAAAAUUCAGGUUUUUAAAAGUUCAGGGUUUUGUGUUAUGGCAGGGGCCCGUCCCCCAAUCUCUCUUAUUGGGUCUUCUUAGUCUCUUCCUGUCUCUGGUGGGAUGCUGCAUUGGACGGGGUUUCCUCUCUCCCUCUCUAAAACAUGAUUAAUACUUGAUGCUGCCAUGAUAGCUAUCCCUUGUACGUUAGCAUUCGGUGGAUGCUCCAGACUGUGGGGAGAUGUCGCUCUUUGUGAGUCCGUGUCAGAGUGUGUGUGUGUGUGUGUGUGUGUGUGUGUGCAGGGGUUCUUACAACUUUGUCUGGGUGAUUAAGGCCACAUGUUAUUGAUUGGCAGACCCCUUGAAGUGCAACAUGAUCAUAAAUAAUUCUCCUGCCUCGCAGAAUAAACUAUCACCUUUGUCGGCCGCACUGACAGCCUCCCAUUGAAGACCAAAUGCAUUUUUUAUGUUUUUACUUGACCUUAAUUUAAGUUGUACAAGAGCGAUUUCUUAUUUACGAGCUCUGGAGGAAAUCAACAGAUGUGCAAACCGUUUAGGGCGCUCAGUUCAAAUAUGGAUGAAUACAGCAGGAAAUAUUUGGUAUUAUUGGUCUGUGUGAUUUUAGCAGUCUUAUAUUUGCUAACUCACAUUUUAUUCAGGAAUAAAUCCACUGCAGCUUUGAUACUUUCUCCUUUUUACUAAGAGAUAAAGACUUUCAUUUCUCAAAUGCACAGAUCACAGCAGAGGGAAACUUCUCAUGGAUUCUGUUUUAACUUGCAGAGCCGUCCUUUCUCGUUCACUCAGUCACCUUUCAAACAGGAAUCCUCUGUUUCAGAAAGCACCGAUUUAUACCUCAUCCUCAACAGGAAAGUCUGUCACAAAUUCUCUGAUAUUUCUGUUGAAAAUGUUGAGGUGUACACCCUCUCUGCAGACUCUCACUCUGCAGUGCACACCCCACUGUAGAGUCCAGCUGUCGGCUUUUUCCCUUAAUACUGAAUAGUUAGACAUACUGAUUCAGAAGUGUCUCUGCAGGUGGUUUAGUGUUUACCGAACAACUACUAAUAGAGUAACAUGUUGCACCUUAGGUUUUGUAAGCAACAUUGUAUUAUUGUGCAUAUGCUGUUUGCAAAUUAAUCCUGCAGACUCAGAUAUUCCUAACUGACCUGCAGUCACUAACCCUACCCCCAACCCUAACCCUAAUCUCAACCCUAACCCUAGCCAAAACCUUAACCCUAGCCCCAACCUAGCUAGGGUUGGGGUUAGGGUUAGGGCUAGGGUUGAAGUUAGGGUUCAGGUUGAGGCUAGGGUUUAUGUUUGGGUUGGGGCUAGGGUUAGGGUUGGGGUUGGAACCCUACCUCCAACCCUAACAAUAACCCUAACCCUACCCCCAACCCAAACCCUAGCCUCAACCCCAACCCUAGCCAUGUUCUACAGAGGCUUAGGAAGUGAAGUUCAAGAUGUCUUUUCAAAAUAAAACUUGAGCUUUUGCAAUUUGAAGUUACACAUUAAUUUAACACACAGUUAAUGCAGUAAAACUGAUGCAGUUUGGUAACACUUACACGAUAAAUGACUGCUGAAGGUUUUCUGUUCAUAAGGCUAUAUAGGUUAUAACCUGGGUGUGGUAAAUACUUGAUUCUGAUUGGCUGAAACUCCAUAAGUCAGACGUGAACCCGAUCAAACACGCUUUGCUAAAUUAAUCUGCAGAACUUUGACCUCUGCCUGUUGACACUGUGGCAAAACCUUAAUUUAAGUCUCAUGUUUGGUCUUGAGAGUCUGGAAAUAAACAAAUGUAGUGGUUAGGGAUGUGAGGGCAGCCUGAGGAGCCAUGUCUGAAAGAGGAACGGGAAGCAGCUUCAUGUCCUGCAAUCCGUGCACCUGCAGCAGAGCUGGUGUGAGCAUCUCUAAACCGGGGAUCUUUAUAAAGUAACUUAAAGCUCUAAUGGGGAGUUUUUCCUGAAUCUGACUGAAAUCAAGAUUGAUGUUGAAUGCAAACAAGACCAUCAAAGAUAAGAUUAACAUUUUCUUUGUAUUGGUGUUGAUGCAAUAAAGAAUAUAAUCAGGGUGGAAUAAGACCCCGUUUGGGUUGGGGCUAGGGUUAGGGUUGGGGUUGGAACCCUACCUCCAACCCUAACAAUAACCCUAACCCUACCCCCAACCCAAACCCAAACCCUAGCCUCAACCCCAACCCUAGCUUCUACCCUAACCCUAGCCUAAACCUUAACCUUAGCCCCAAUCCUAACCCUAGCCCUAACCCUUGCCCCAACCUAACUAGGCUUGGGGCUAAAGGGUUAGGGAAAAGGUUGAGGUUAGGGUUGAGGUUAGGGUUAGUGUUGGGGUUAGGGUUAGGGUUAGUGUUAGGAUUAGGGUUGGGCUGGUGUUAGGGUUAGUGUUGGGGUUAGGGUUAGGGUUGAGGCUAGGGUUGGGUUAGGGUUAGUGUUAGGAUUAGGGUUGGGCUGGGGUUAGUGUUGGGGCUAGGGUUAGGGUUAAUACGUUCAGAAGUGCAAUAAUGUUCUGUAAUGUUCUGGUUGAUGUACAGAGCCGACAGCCUGCGUUUGGCUUGAGCGUGUGAUGAAGUUUCCAGCUUUUCUAACCAAUCAGAAGCGAAGGAGGCGGGACUUUUCCCCACCGUCCUACAAAAAAAAAUAAUGCCCCCAGGACAGAACCCUGUGGAACACCAGAUAUGACCUGAGAAAGAUUUGAACAUUUAGAGUAAACACUUUAAUUUUUCAAGCAUUUGUUUAUUAUUUUUCUUUAAUACAAAUAUAACUUGAAACACAGUUUUAAAAUCUGUUUGUUUUUACACCAAUUCUGAUGCUUCAUCAUCUUCCUUUGCUUAAAUUCUGUGGUAGUUUUAUUAGAAACGUUGACACCGUUGGUUUCAGGCCGUUUAAUCAUUUAAGGAAAUGUUAAAUCGCACUUUCAAUGUCCAUGAAAAUCAUCUGUCAUUUUAGAAAUGGUCUCAAUUGGUGACCACACAUCUCUUCACUUUUAAGCCCUCUGUAGAACAAGCCGAACACACACAGACCGGCCUGUUCAAACAGAAACAAAGACAUACUAACGGCUCACAGAGGAGCAGAUAUAAAGACAGCCGACGGGGGGAAAGACAGAGGGAUGAAAGCGGCUUGCAAAAACCCUCUCUAAGCGUUUCCCUGCAUGUGAAGUCAGUCGCUCAGCCUUCUGGGAUACGAUGCUGCCUGUUUGAUGCCUUUGAGACUCUGAGACGGCCUCAUCCAUAUUACAUCGUCUUUACCAUGAGCUGUGAUCGCUCCUCUUAGAGAUGCAGAGUGGCAUUAGGGACAGGGGGAGGAAGAAAGGGAAAAAGAUGAGGAAGGAGAUGAUGGAGGGAGGAGCAUAAUAAAGAAAAGAGAAGGGGGAAAAAUACCAAAUGAAGAGCUGAUUGAAAGACAGAAAAUAGAGGUUUUGAUUUUAAAUAGCACACCCUCAUCCUUGAGUUAUCUUUCCCUAACCAAGAGAGAGAGUGAGAGCUUUGUCCACAGGGGGCGCUAACAUUGACACAAACUAAAAGUUCCUCACAGGAGCUUUAAUAUCUGCAUUAAAGGAGUUACCUUUUUAACCUUCACCAGACCCCCAUUUUUACAGCUUUAGAUGAAUAAUUUCCCUCAGCCAGGUAACUAAUAGACUGCAUAUGUAGGAACACUUUAAACGAGAUUUACUCCUCCAACAUAAACAUUGUCAUCCAUCACAUUUCAUUGUGCAUAUUCAGAUAUUUUUUGGGAGUCUCAGCUUCAUUGAAAAAAGUUAUUUACACAGAGGCUUUCCUAAGACAGAAACCAAUUUUCUGCAAUAAAUGGGUCUCAAAUCUGCUGAAAUUACAUCAUAAUAUAAAUUUAGAAAAAGGAUCUUUUCUUUUGAACGUUUUCCUCCAGUCUUGUCUUGGCUCUUGCCCCCCCCAGAUUGUUGUAUCACAGUGUUCUGGAGUGAACUCACAUGAGACGAGGGUUGAGGGUGACAGAAAGCUGGAGGGAGGGGUAGAGAGGGUGGAGUGUGUGAGGUGGGGGGUGAUGGGUUCUUCAGUAGUUGUGUGAUCUCAGCCACCAGUUCCACAGCUGGUGCACCAGCAGGCAGCCCAGCCUGGCCAUAUGCUGCCUGGGCUGCUCCCAUUGCUCCCAUUAUCCUCAGUUGAGAACCACCCCCCACCCUCACCCCGCCUCACCCCAACCCCCAA
rnacentral:lncRNA from 1 species